GUUGACGGAAGCUGCGGCUUCCAGAGUACGGCAGCUGUUGGAACAGCGUCAGCGUUCUUUCCUUAAGCUUGGUGUCAAAUCUCGCGGCUGUAACGGGUUGUCUUAUACACUCAAUUAUGCAGACGAUAAAGGAAAAUUUGACGAGUUGAUUGAGGACAAGGGAGUGAAGAUAUUGAUCGAUCCAAAGGCACUUAUGCAUGUUAUAGGUACCGAGAUGGAUUUUGUUGAUGAUAAACUCAGAUCUGAGUUCAUAUUUGUCAAUCCAAAUGCAACUGGACAAUGUGGUUGUGGAGAAUCUUUCAUGACAACAACUAGCUCUGAAGCUGCUAAGUUGCGCGGCAAAUCUAGCUGAUAGCUUAUUAUAUACUCAUAUUAUGUACGUUAGUCGUUAUAUAUACACUUAGAAGUGUGAGUAUAUAUUAUAUAGUCGAUCUGUAGUAACAAAUCAACGAUGUUAACAGUCAGAAAUAGAAGGUUUUGUUAUUUUUUCUCUUUUUUGCCCAAAUCUUAUGUACAUCAGCUGUUGUAAAGAAUAAGAUUUUCUUUGCCAUGGAAAGGUGAAAGUAGAACAAUGAAAAUCGAAC
rnacentral:misc_RNA from 1 species